rnacentral:snoRNA from 1 species
GCGAGGAUGAAUAUACUUGGUGUUGAUCGUAAUGAUGUUUCCUCUAAGAAGUUCUGAGCUC